UUAAUUGAAACCAAAAAAAAAGAGGUAUAUUACUGUUAAUAAUAAAAUUGAAUUAGGUAUUACAAUUCCAAUUAA